rnacentral:rRNA from 1 species
UACAGAGGUCUCAAGCGUUGUUCGGAUUCAUUGGGCGUAAAGGGUGCGUAGGCGGCGGGGCAAGUCAGGUGUGAAAUCUCGGAGCUCAACUCCGAAACUGCACUUGAUACUGCCUUGCUCGAGUACUGGAGAGGAGAUUGGAAUUUACGGUGUAGCAGUGAAAUGCGUAGAUAUCGUAAGGAAGACCAGUGGCGAAGGCGAAUCUCUGGACAGUUACUGACACUGAGGCACGAAGGCCAGGGGAGCAAACAGG